UCCGUAGGCGGGCAGCUAAGUCAGUGGUGAAAGUCUGCAGCUCAACUGUAGAAUUGCCAUUGAUACUGGUUGUCUUGAAUUAUUAUGAAGUGGUUAGAAUAUGUAGUGUAGCGGUGGAAUGCAUAGAUAUUACAUAGAAUACCAAUUGCGAAGGCAGAUCACUAAUAAUAUAUUGACGCUGAUGGACGAAAGCGUGGGGAGCGAACAGGAUUAGAUACCCUGGUAGUCC
rnacentral:rRNA from 1 species